AUGGCCCUGGACUCCGUCCCUUCCUACCCCAGCGACCUGGGAUCCAGCGGCAGGGCGACCAGGACCCAGCAAAGAAUCCGGAAGGAGGAGCGGACGUGGACGGCGGACACCUACGCGCCGUACGACGACGGGCACCAGUGGAGGAAGUACGGCGAGAAGAAGCUCUCCAACUCCAACUUCCCGAGGUUCUACUACAGAUGUACCUACAAGACUGACCUGAAGUGCCCUGCGACAAAACAAGUCCAGCAGAAGGACAUGAGCGACCCACCAUUGUUCACGGUCACUUACUUCAACCAUCACAGCUGCAACACCACCUCGAGGCCCAUCGGCAGCGCCCCAGACACCACUGAGCAGUCGUCCUCGAGGAGGGCGGUGUCCAUCUGCUUCGGGUCGCAUGCCACCGGCGAGCAGCCGACAUUCCUAACGUCGCCGGGCACACUGCAGUCACCAGCGAGCACAACCAACCAACAGAACGACAGAGGCGCUUACGGUCACCAGUUUCAGUGGACAGACACAUCACCGUCGGCAGGCGAUGCCCCAGUCAAGAUGGAGACCGACAGUCUCGCCGGAACAGGCGCUUCGUCUGGCGCUGCUAGCGGCCAUGCUCUGUCGAGGACACUGCUGCCGAUCGGCCAGUCGAGAUGCAUCGAGUACUUUCAGUUCUUGUGA
rnacentral:rRNA from 1 species